CAGUCAGGACCUAAGCCGAGGCCGAAAGGCGUAGGUGAUGGACAACAGGUUGAUAUUCCUGUACCACCAAUAACCGUUUGAGAAAUGGGAUGACACAGAAGGAUAAGCUAACCGCACUGUUGGUUAUGUGCGGGCAAGUAUUGAGGCAGUUCUGGUAGGCAAAUCCGCCAGAAUAAUGCUAGGGUACGAUGCGGAGCGAAAUUUAGUAGCGAGGUAGCUGAUUUCACACUGUCGAGAAAAGUCUCUAUCGAGGUUAAAGGUGCCUGUACCGCAAACCGACACAGGUGGGUGAGGAGAGUAUCCUAAGGCCAGCCAGAGAACUGUUGUUAAGGAACUCGGCAAAAUGACCCCGUAACUUAGGGAGAAGGGGUGCCUUCGAAAGAAGGCCGCAGAGAAUAGGCCCAAGCGACUGUUUACCAAAAACAUAGGUUUCUGCUAAGUCGCAAGACGAUGUAUAGGAGCUGACGCCUGCCCGGUGCUGGAAGGUUAAGGGGAUCUGUUAGAGCAAUCGAAGCAGUGAACUUAAGCCCCAGUAAACGGCGGCCGUAACGAUAACGGUCCUAAGGUAGCGAAAUUCCUUGUCGGGUAAGUUCCGACCCGCACGAAAGGCGUAACGAUUUGGGCACUGUCUCAACAACAGACUGGGUGAAAUUGUAAUACCGGUGAAGAUGCCGGUUACCUGCGACAGGACGGAAAGACCCCAUGGAGCUUUACUGUAGCUUGACAUUGAGUCUCGGUGCUACAUGUACAGGAUAGGUGGGAGGCUAUGAAGCAUGGACGUCAGUUUGUGUGGAGCCAUCCUUGGGAUACCACCCUUGUAGUACUGGGAUUCUAACCAGCUGCCUUGAAUCAGGUAGUGGGACACUGUCAGGUGGACAGUUUGACUGGGGCGGUCGCCUCCUAAAGAGUAACGGAGGCGCUCAAAGGUUCUCUCAGUACGGUCGGAAAUCGUACGUAGAGUGUAAAGGCAGAAGAGAGCUUGAUUGCAAGACAUACAGGUCGAGCAAGGACGAAAGUCGGACUUAGUGAUCCGGUGGUACCGCAUGGAAGGGCCAUCGCUCAACGGAUAAAAGCUACCCUGGGGAUAACAGGCUGAUCUCCCCCAAGAGUCCACAUCGACGGGGAGGUUUGGCACCUCGAUGUCGGCUCAUCACAUCCUGGGGCUGUAGUAGGUCCCAAGGGUUGGGCUGUUCGCCCAUUAAAGUGGUACGCGAGCUGGGUUCAGAACGUCGUGAGACAGUUCGGUCCCUAUCCGUCGCAGGCGUAGGAAAUUUGAGGAGACCUGUCCUUAGUACGAGAGGACCGGGAUGGACGUACCGCUGGUGUACCAGUUGUUCUGCCAAGGGCAUAGCUGGGUAGCUAAGUACGGAAAGGAUAAGCGCUGAAAGCAUCUAAGCGCGAAGCCUACUUCGAGAUAAGAUUUCCCACCGCAAGGUUAAGACCCCAUGAAGCCUACUGGUU
rnacentral:rRNA from 1 species